UACAGAGGUCUCAAGCGUUGUUCGGAUUCAUUGGGCGUAAAGGGUGCGUAGGCGGCGCGGUAAGUCGGGUGUGAAAUCUCGGAGCUUAACUCCGAAACUGCAUUCGAUACUGCCGUGCUUGAGGACUGGAGAGGAGACUGGAAUUUACGGUGUAGCGGUGAAAUGCGUAGAUAUCAGGAGGAACACCGGUGGCGAGGGCGGGUCUCUGGGCAGUAACUGACGCUGAGGAGCGAAAGCGUGGGGAGCGAACAGG
rnacentral:rRNA from 1 species